rnacentral:rRNA from 1 species
UGUGCCAGCAGCCGCGGUAAUACAGAGGGUGCAAGCGUUAAUCGGAAUUACUGGGCGUAAAGCGAGCGUAGGUGGCUUGAUAAGUCAGAUGUGAAAGCCCCGGGCUUAACCUGGGAACGGCAUCUGAUACUGUUAGGCUAGAGUAGGUGAGAGGAAGGUAGAAUUCCCAGGUGUAGCGGUGAAAUGCGUAGAGAUCUGGAGGAAUACCGAUGGCGAAGGCAGCCUUCUGGCAUCAUACUGACACUGAGGUUCGAAAGCGUGGGUAGCAAACAGGAUUAGAUACCCUGGUAGUCCACGCCGUAAACGAUGUCUACUAGUCGUUGGGUCCCUUGAGGACUCAGUGACGCAGCUAACGCAAUAAGUAGACCGCCUGGGGAGUACGGCCGCAAGGUUAAAACUCAAAUGAAUUGACGGGGGCCCGCACAAGCGGUGGAGCAUGUGGUUUAAUUCGAUGCAACGCGAAGAACCUUACCUGGUCUUGACAUAUCUAGAAUCCUGCAGAGAUGCGGGAGUGCCUUCGGGAAUUAGAAUACAGGUGCUGCAUGGCUGUCGUCAGCUCGUGUCGUGAGAUGUUGGGUUAAGUCCCGCAACGAGCGCAACCCUUGUCCUUAGUUACCAGCGGUUUGGCCGGGAACUCUAAGGAUACUGCCAGUGACAAACUGGAGGAAGGCGGGGACGACGUCAAGUCAUCAUGGCCCUUACGACCAGGGCUACACACGUGCUACAAUGGUAGGUACAGAGGGCAGCUACACAGCGAUGUGAUGCGAAUCUCAAAAAGCCUAUCGUAGUCCAGAUUGGAGUCUGCAACUCGACUCCAUGAAGUAGGAAUCGCUAGUAAUCGCGGAUCAGAAUGCCGCGGUGAAUACGUUCCCGGGCCUUGUACACACCGCCCGUCACACCAUGGGAGUUGAUUGCACCAGAAGUGGUUAGCCUAACCUUUUAGGAAGGCGAUCACCACGGUGUGGUUGAUGACUGGGGUGAAGUCGUAACAAGGUAACCGA